UCCUCUUAAUCAAAAGUAGGUUUGUAUUGUAUCAGUUUUUUGAUAUGCUUUGAUUUGCUUCCGUAGGUGAACUGUGUCUCUAUCAUGGAUCAUCUAACUACAUGGAGAAAGAGGUUCAGUUUACAGGAAUAUUAAGUGAUAAAGCUCAAGAAAAUCCAGACUUUUUCAAUUGGAAUAGAGUUAAGCUUUGUUACUGUGAUGGUGCUUCUUUCAGUGGAGAUGGUCAGAAUGAGGCUGCACAGCUUCAGUUUAGAGGAGAGCGUAUCUAGAGAGCAGCCAUAGAUGAUUUAAAGGCCAAUGGAAUGAGAUACGCCGACCAGGCACUUCUCUCUGGAUGCUCAGGUGGUGGUUUAGCAGCUAUCCUACGUUACGAUGAGUUCAGGAACUUGUUCCCUGGUUCCACCAAAGUCAAGUGCUUAAGUGACGCAGGCUUGUUCUUGGACAAGUUUUAUUUCUCAUCUAAACAUAAAGUCAAACACUUGGGAGCUUUCAAGUUUGAUUUUCAGAGUAUAGUAGAGUUUCAGAGUGUGAAAAACAACCUGCCUCGUCUGUGCACAAACCAUCUUCUCUCUCGGCAGACAAAUAAACCUUUUUUUAUAUAAACGUCUGAAACCAGAACCAUCGAAAUUCAAACACUUGGGAGCUUU